rnacentral:rRNA from 1 species
UACUCUGGGAAACUGGGGAUAAUACUGGAUAUUAGGCUAUGCCUGGAAUGGUUUGCCUUUGAAAUGUUUUUUCGCCUAAGGAUAGAUCUGCGGCUGAUUAGGUCGUUGGUGGGGUAAUGGCCCACCAAGCCGAUGAUCGGUACGGGUUGUGAGAGCAAGAGCCCGGAGAUGGAACCUGAGACAAGGUUCCAGACCCUACGGGGUGCAGCAGGCGCGAAACCUCCGCAAUGUACGAAAGUGCGACGGGGGGAUCCCAAGUGUCAUGCUUUUUUGUAUGACUUUUCAUUAGUGUAAAAAGCUUUUAGAAUAAGAGCUGGGCAAGACCGGUGCCAGCCGCCGCGGUAACACCGGCAGCUCGAGUGGUAGCUGUUUUUAUUGGGCCUAAAGCGUUCGUAGCCGGUUUGAUAAGUCUUUGGUGAAAGCUUGUAGCUUAACUAUAAGAAUCGCUGGAGAUACUAUUAGACUUGAAGUCGGGAGAGGUUAGAGGUACUACCGGGGUAGGGGUGAAAUCCUAUAAUCCUG